rnacentral:rRNA from 1 species
AUAUCAGUCAUGCAUAGCAUAUCAAUAAGCGGAGGAAAAGAAACUAACAAGGAUUCCCUUAGUAACGGCGAGUGAAGCGGGAAGAGCUCAAAUUUGAAAUCUUCAAGGUUUUACCUUGACGAAUUGUAGUUUAAAGAAGUGUUUUCUGUUGAAGUUUUGGUAAAAGUUCUUUGGAAUAGGACAUCAUAGAGGGUGAGAAUCCCGUAUUUGACCAUUACUUUCAGCUUUGUGAUACACUUUCAAAGAGUCGGAUUGUUUGGGAAUGCAGUCCAAAAUGGGUGGUAAAUUUCAUCUAAAGCUAAAUAUUGGCGAGAGACCGAUAGCGAACAAGUACCGUGAGGGAAAGAUGAAAAGAACUUUGAAAAGAGAGUUAAACAGUACGUGAAAUUGUCAAAAGGGAAGCGUUUGACACCAGUGUUGUUUUCUCGAAAAUCAAUUAAAAAGAGUUGGAUUUUGUGUUGUAUUGACUUUAUCAGCUUUCUUCACUCUUUUCCAGCUUUUUUUAAUGCACUUUUCCGUUUAACAAGUCAACAUCAGUUUCUUUUGUUGUAAAAAGGUCAUUGGAAGGUGGCUUUCUCUUCGGAGAAAGUGUUUAUAGCCUUUGACUCAUGCAAUCGGAGAGACUGAGGUCUGCAGCGUAGAUCCUUCGGGGUUAGAUACAUUUGUGCUAAGUUAUAGCUUUUCAUAGACAACUUGUUGACUAUGUUUAGUCUUGUAGCUUACUCGCUUAUGCUAUUUUACCUACGCUUAGGAUGUUGAACUCUAUCACACACAG